AGGUGGAGAAGAAGAAGAAGAGGAGGAGGAAGGCUGACGUCCCCACGGCUACCUGCGUCCUCCAAACAAGCACGCACUGUCGGCAGAAGGAAGCCAAGCAACGGGCCUUUUCCCAACGUCAAGUCGCCCAACGGCACUCUCCCCCUCCUCUGUCCUCACGUCGGGCUUUGCAUGGGAUUCGCUACACGUGAAGGUAAACAGUCUUCCCAUGAUUACCUCACCUACUCCUCCACUGCUCACCCAACAUCUCACCGUAAUCGCAUUUCUUUCCUUUGGAUCAUCGAUCCAUCGUUCCCCGACGUCUGUCUCAUAAAUAAAUCAUGCCCAUGAACUGUUCGUCAGAAUGCCAAGUCUAAACUACUAUGAUGUUGUCCUUUGAUUGGCAGCUUAAAGGUCCUCGCUAAUAAGAGCGUCCUUUUGCUUGUAAUCAUGCUCCAUAUGAACCUCUAGCUUCUUGAGGUCUGACAGACAAAAGUGAAACCAGUACAAGGAAUUAGUUGGCACAAAACCUAAUUAAUUGAUCUGCCUCACAUCACUCACAUCGCACUCGUUCGGACUUUACAGUAGAAAGUAUGGGCUCCAAAUGCUUCUAGCCUUAGUUAAUUUGCAUGCUGUAGAGUGGCCAUGCAGUUUGCUGAUGUUCUUCUUCUUUAGCUCAGCGAAAUGGUUCAUAUAGAUUCGGACAUGACAACCAAUGAAGAAGAAAGAUAUGCCUUCCUGAAUGUCGAACAGUGUACAAAUAUAUUAGACUGCUGGAGAAACACCAGCAGAUGAGCUGCUGCUAUGCUAAUCUUUUGUUGUGGC
rnacentral:lncRNA from 1 species